CUACGGGAGGCAGCAGUGGGGAAUAUUGGACAAUGGGCGCAAGCCUGAUCCAGCCAUGCCGCGUGAGUGAUGACGGCCUUAGGGUUGUAAAGCUCUUUCACCGGUGAAGAUAAUGACGGUAACCGGAGAAGAAGCCCCGGCUAACUUCGUGCCAGCAGCCGCGGUAAUACGAAGGGGGCUAGCGUUGUUCGGAAUUACUGGGCGUAAAGCGCACGUAGGCGGAUAUUUAAGUCAGGGGUGAAAUCCCGGGGCUCAACCCCGGAACUGCCUUUGAUACUGGAUAUCUCGAGUCCGGAAGAGGUGAGUGGAACUCCGAGUGUAGAGGUGAAAUUCGUAGAUAUUCGGAAGAACACCAGUGGCGAAGGCGGCUCACUGGACCAUAACUGACGCUGAGGCGCGAAAGCGUGGGGAGCAAACAGGAUUAGAUACCCCGGUAGUCC
rnacentral:rRNA from 1 species